rfam:Camelus ferus unplaced genomic scaffold scaffold519, whole genome shotgun sequence.
GAGGGUAUAGCUCAGUGCUAGAGUGUGUGCUUAGCAUUCACAAGAUUCUGGGUUCAAUCCCCAGAAUCUCCA